rnacentral:rRNA from 1 species
GACGACGGGUAGCCGGCCUGAGAGGGUGACCGGCCACCACUGGGACUGAGACACGACCCAGACUCCUACGGGAGGCAGCAGUGGGGAAUAUUGCACAAUGGGCGGAAGCCUGAUGCAGCGACGCCGCGUGAGGGAUGACGGCCUUCGGGUUGUAAACCUCUUUCAGUAGGGAAGAAGCGAGAGUGACGGUACCUGCAGAAGAAGCGCCGGCUAACUACGUGCCAGCAGCCGCGGUAAUACGUAGGGCGCAAGCGUUGUCCGGAAUUAUUGGGCGUAAAGAGCUCGUAGGCGGUUUGUCGCGUCUGCUGUGAAAGCCCGGGGCUCAACCCCGGGUCUGCAGUGGGUACGGGCAGACUAGAGUGCAGUAGGGGAGACUGGAAUUCCUGGUGUAGCGGUGAAAUGCGCAGAUAUCAGGAGGAACACCGAUGGCGAAGGCAGGUCUCUGGGCUGUUACUGACGCUGAGGAGCGAAAGCAUGGGGAGCGAACAGGAUUAGAUACCCUGGUAGUCCAUGCCGUAAACGUUGGGCACUAGGUGUGGGGGACAUUCCACGUUUUCCGCGCCGUAGCUAACGCAUUAAGUGCCCCGCCUGGGGAGUACGGCCGCAAGGCUAAAACUCAAAGGAAUUGACGGGGGCCCGCACAAGCGGCGGAGCAUGCGGAUUAAUUCGAUGCAACGCGAAGAACCUUACCAAGGCUUGACAUUCACCGGACCGCCCCAGAGAUGGGGUUUCCCUUCGGGGCUGGUGGACAGGUGGUGCAUGGUUGUCGUCAGCUCGUGUCGUGAGAUGUUGGGUUAAGUCCCGCAACGAGCGCAACCCUCGUUCUAUGUUGCCAGCACGUGAUGGUGGGGACUCAUAGGAGACUGCCGGGGUCAACUCGGAGGAAGGUGGGGAUGACGUCAAAUCAUCAUGCCCCUUAUGUCUUGGGCUUCACGCAUGCUACAAUGACCGGUACAAAGCGUUGCGAUACUGUGAGGUGGAGCUAAUCCCAAAAAGGCCGGUCUCUCAGU